rnacentral:rRNA from 1 species
AGAGUUUGAUCCUGGCUCAGGAUGAACGCUGGCGGCGUGCCUAACACAUGCAAGUCGAGCGAUUCUCUUCGGAGAAGAGCGGCGGACGGGUGAGUAACGCGUGGGUAACCUGCCCUGUACACACGGAUAACAUACCGAAAGGUAUGCUAAUACGGGAUGACAUAAGAAAUUCGCAUGUUUUUCUUAUCAAAGCUCCGGCGGUACAGGAUGGACCCGCGUCUGAUUAGCUAGUUGGUGAGGUAACGGCUCACCAAGGCGACGAUCAGUAGCCGACCUGAGAGGGUAAUCGGCCACAUUGGAACUGAGACACGGUCCAAACUCCUACGGGAGGCAGCAGUGGGGAAUAUUGCACAAUGGGCGAAAGCCUGAUGCAGCAACGCCGCGUGAGCGAUGAAGGCCUUCGGGUCGUAAAGCUCUGUCCUCAAGGAAGAUAAUGACGGUACUUGAGGAGGAAGCCCCGGCUAACUACGUGCCAGCAGCCGCGGUAAUACGUAGGGGGCUAGCGUUAUCCGGAUUUACUGGGCGUAAAGGGUGCGUAGGCGGUCUUUUAAGUCAGGAGUGAAAGGCUACGGCUCAACCGUAGUAAGCUCUUGAAACUGGAGGACUUGAGUGCAGGAGAGGAGAGUGGAAUUCCUAGUGUAGCGGUGAAAUGCGUAGAUAUUAGGAGGAACACCAGUAGCGAAGGCGGCUCUCUGGACUGUAACUGACGCUGAGGCACGAAAGCGUGGGGAGCAAACAGGAUUAGAUACCCUGGUAGUCCACGCCGUAAACGAUGAGUACUAGCUGUCGGAGGUCACCCCCUUCGGUGGCGCAGCUAACGCAUUAAGUACUCCGCCUGGGGAGUACGCUCGCAAGAGUGAAACUCAAGGGAAUUGACGGGGACCCGCACAAGUAGCGGAGCAUGUGGUUUAAUUCGAAGCAACGCGAAGAACCUUACCUAAGCUUGACAUCCUUUUGACCGAUGCCUAAUCGCAUCUUUCCCUUCGGGGACAGAAGUGACAGGUGGUGCAUGGUUGUCGUCAGCUCGUGUCGUGAGAUGUUGGGUUAAGUCCCGCAACGAGCGCAACCCUUGCCUUUAGUUGCCAUCAUUAAGUUGGGCACUCUAGAGGGACUGCCAGGGAUAACCUGGAGGAAGGUGGGGAUGACGUCAAAUCAUCAUGCCCCUUAUGCUUAGGGCUACACACGUGCUACAAUGGGUGGUACAGAGGGCAGCGAAGUCGUGAGGCCAUGCUAAUCCCUUAAAGCCAUUCUCAGUUCGGAUUGUAGGCUGAAACUCGCCUACAUGAAGCUGGAGUUACUAGUAAUCGCAGAUCAGAAUGCUGCGGUGAAUGCGUUCCCGGGUCUUGUACACACCGCCCGUCACACCAUGGGAGUUGGGGGCGCCCGAAGCCGGCUAGCUAACCUUUUGGAAGCGGUCGUCGAAGGUGAAACCAAUAACUGGGGUGAAGUCGUAACAAGGUA